UCUUCAUUAGUAUAACGGUUAGUAUAACCGCUUCUCAAUCGCGGUAGACCAGGGUUCAACUCCCUGAUGGAGAA
rnacentral:tRNA from 1 species